rnacentral:rRNA from 1 species
GACAGCAGCCGCCACGGGAAUACGAAGGGGGCUAGCGUUGUUCGGAAUUACUGGGCGUAAAGCGCACGUAGGCGGACAUUUAAGUCAGGGGUGAAAUCCCGGGGCUCAACCCCGGAACUGCCUUUGAUACUGGGUGUCUAGAGUAUGGAAGAGGUGAGUAGAAUUCCGAGUGUAGAGGUGAAAUUCGUAGAUAUUCGGAGGAACACCAGUGGCGAAGGCGGCUCACUGGUCCAUUACUGACGCUGAGGUGCGAAAGCGUGGGGAGCAAACAGGAUUAGAGACCCCGGUAGUCCCUGUCUCUUAUAC